rnacentral:tRNA from 1 species
GGUUCGAUGGUGUAGUGGUUAUCACGUCUGCUUCACACGCAGAAGGUCGCGAGUUCAAACCUCGCUCGAACCU